rnacentral:rRNA from 1 species
AACGAACGCUGGCGGCAGGCUUAACACAUGCAAGUCGAGCGCCCCGCAAGGGGAGCGGCAGACGGGUGAGUAACGCGUGGGAAUCUACCCAUCUCUACGGAAUAACGCAUGGAAACGUGUGCUAAUACCGUAUACGUCCUUCGGGAGAAAGAUUUAUCGGAGAUGGAUGAGCCCGCGUUGGAUUAGCUAGUUGGUGGGGUAAAGGCCUACCAAGGCGACGAUCCAUAGCUGGUCUGAGAGGAUGACCAGCCACACUGGGACUGAGACACGGCCCAGACUCCUACGGGAGGCAGCAGUGGGGAAUAUUGGACAAUGGGCGCAAGCCUGAUCCAGCCAUGCCGCGUGAGUGAUGAAGGCCCUAGGGUUGUAAAGCUCUUUCACCGGUGAAGAUAAUGGCGGUAACCGGAGAAGAAGCCCCGGCUAACUUCGUGCCAGCAGCCGCAGUAAAAC